GUUCGUCCGCCCUGGGUUAGUCGGGACCUAAGCUGAGGCCGAAAGGCGUAGGUGAUGGACAACAGGUUGAUAUUCCUGUACUACCGAUAACCGUUUGAGAGAUGGGAUGACACAGUAGGAUAAGCUAAGCACACUGUUGGUUAUGUGUGCCCAAGCAUUGAGGCAGUCAAAGUAGGCAAAUCCGCUUUGAUAAUGCUGGGAUGUG
rnacentral:rRNA from 1 species